AGCGAACGUUUGCGGCGGGCCUAACACAUGCAAGUCGAACGGGCUAGCAAUAGUCAGUGGCGCACGGGUGCGUAACACGUGGGUAAUCAACCCUUCAGCUCGGGAUAACGCCUUGAAAGGGGCGCUAAUACCGGAUGCGACGCGAGGAGCCUCGGCGCUUCGCGGGAAAGAUUCGCAAGGAUCACUGAAGGACGAGCCUGCGGCCCAUCAGCUAGUUGGUGAGGUAAGAGCUCACCAAGGCGAAGACGGGUAGCUGGUCUGAGAGGAUGAUCAGCCACACUGGAACUGAGACACGGUCCAGACUCCUACGGGAGGCAGCAGUGGGGAAUAUUGCGCAAUGGGCGAAAGCCUGACGCGGCCACGCCGCGUGCGGG
rnacentral:rRNA from 1 species